CGUGCAGGCGGGUUGGUAAGUCAGAUGUGAAAGCCCUGGGCUCAACCCAGGAAGUGCAUUUGAAACUGCCAUCCUUGAGUAUGGGAGAGGAGAGUGGAAUUCCCGAUGUAGAGGUGAAAUUCGUAGAUAUUGGGAGGAACACCCGUGGCGAAGGCGACUCUCUGGACCAAUACUGACGCUGAGACGCGAAAGCGUGGGGAGCAAACA
rnacentral:rRNA from 1 species